ensembl:snoRNA
CUCCAUGUAUCUAUGGGACCUGUCAGCCGUGGCAGGCUCCCUUCCUAGCCAUGGAAGAGCAUGAGCCUUGUUGAUUGGCAAAGCUGGCACCAUCUUGGUUGGUAUCAGAUUCUGACUUGCACAAGGAACACGG